CCGCGGUAAUACCAGCUCCACUGGCCUAUACAAUCAUUGUUGCGGUUAAGAGGCUCGUAGUUGGAUUGAACUGCCAUGAAGAAUGAAUCUUAACACCUUUCUACUCUUUGUGUCAACAGUUUUACGUAUAUGUUUUGGGCUUAUAGUUCAUUUCAUAUACGUUCGACGCUGUUAUAAGAAUUUUGCUUACGCAUAUACGAUUUUUACACGGCACGUUAGCAUACACGCGUAUAUACAACCUUACACAUACACACCCACAUUUCGUUGUAUAUACCGUGUGUGACACACGCAGCACUUAAUUUCAGAAAUGUCUUUUCGUUUGCAUUUGUGUGUGAGACACACUUUGGAGCAUUUAUUCUCAUUUCAACACUGUGAACAAAUCAGAGUGUAUCAAACAUGUCGUUUUUGAAUGUGCAUUGAAUGUCUUAUCAUGGGAUGUUGCGCACUUUCAGCCUUUUAGAAAGAAGCCUCUCAGCUUUUUUCUCUCUCUCACUAUCACACAUACACACACACACACACACACAUCGUGAGGAGGCAAAUACUAUAAGCGUAUCUUUUUUUCUAAAACGGUUAAAAAUGUCGAUGGGGAUAGUUGGAGUCAACAGUACUGCUGGGCGAGAGGUGAAAUUCAUUGACCCUAGCAAGACUACCAAAAGCGAAAGCAGUUGGCUAGGCUAUACUCUUUGUGAUUGUAUUACGCUAUUAGUAUCUCUCACAUACACACACACACACACACACAUGUGGUAACACUAAUUAUGCGUAUAUACAUUACACUUUACAAUGAAGAACGAAGGUUGGGGGAUCAAAGAGGAUCAGAUACCCUCGUCGUCCCAUUUUUUACAUCAAACGAUGGGCUCUCAAUUGCAAUUUCUAUAUAGAAUUGUAAAUUUCCUCAACCUGCAAAAUAACUUGGCUUGAGCUCGUAUCAUUCUUGAUACGCUCGCCUCACUUUUUUCGUACGGUCUCGACGGACGUUUCAUUUUAUCAUUUUCUUUGCGUGUAAGCAUUAUGUAUUUAUUCCUUGAAACAUAGGAAUUACAUUGCGUGCACUUGAUUUUCGGAGCUUUGCGCUCAAAUUUCUGGUGAGAUGUAAGCACUGUGUUUCUCUGCCCGCAGCGUAUGACUAUCGGUCAUUUCGUUCUGUCGUUUGGUAGUUUAACAAUCUUGGUGUGAAGCACGCUUUAGGCACGCGCUUACUGCAGAAAUGUCUGAGACAUUCCCCUCCGGGGGUAGUAUGCACGCAAGUGUGAAACUUGAAGGAAUUGACGGAAGGGCACCACAAGAACGCGUGGAGCAUGUGGCUUAAUUUGACUCAACGCGGGAAAUCUUACCGGGUCCGGACACACUGAGGAUUGACAGGCAAUAUUAAAUACUACUACUAUACUCGUAUAUGUGCUGUAUUUAUGUUAAAUAUGCUAGUCCUUUCAUGAUUAUGUGAUAGGUGGUGCAUGGCCGUUCUUAGUUCGUGGAGUGAUCUGUCUGCUUAAUUGCGUUUCACUAAGGGCCUAUACAUUUACGUGUGUUGCGGCACUUUGACCCCUCUUAUUCACGUAAGAGCGCGUGUCUUAGUUUUUGCUUAGCUCGCACAAUUAGGUCCUGAAAGCAACGAACGUGACCG
rnacentral:rRNA from 1 species